rnacentral:lncRNA from 1 species
UUUUUACAUUCAAAUGACUAACCAAAAAAAACAUACAAGUAAAAAUUGUAAUCUCUAUAAUCUUGAUUCGAGCCUUCGCGACUUGAAUUCUAAAAUUCACCCUAUUUUUCAGGCGGGCUCCUAGACUUACAACUUUUUUCUUCACCCUGUUCUUCAGGAGGGUUCCUAGACUUACAACUUAUUCAUCCCGUUCUUCAGGCAUGCUCCUAGACUUACAACUUCUUCACCUUGUUCUUAGGCGGGCUCCUGGAUUUACAAUUUCUUUACCCUAUUUUUCAGGCGGGCUCCUGGACUUUCUUUUUCUUCACCCUGUUCUUCAGGCGGGCUCUUCAACUUGCAAUUUCUUCACCCUAUUUUUCAGGCGGGUUUCUGGACUUCCUUUUUCUUUACCCUGUUCUUCAGGCGGGCUCCUGAACUUGCAAUUUCUUCACUCUGUUUUUCAGACGGGCUCCUGUACUUCCUUUUUCUUCACCCUGUUCUUCAGGCGGGCUCCUGGACUUACAAUUUCUUCACCCUGUUCUUCAGGCGGGCUCCUGGACUCAAAGUAAAUAGUGAAACAGAAAAAUA